UAAACUACCUUAACAGUGCAUAUAUAUAUAUAUCACCAUGGACCUUCUUCGACUGUCUUUUAAGUUGUUAGGAUUCUAGACAGCCUGACCUUCAACAAUUUGGACUUGACCAACGACGUGCAACCUGGGAUGAGCCAGAUGUUCAAUGUCUCGAACACGGUGGACAUCAGGCAGUUCCAGAGGAUGGCCUUCGACAGCCAGGAUUACAGCUCUGGGUAUACCCACUCCAAAAUUAAUGUUGGUCUGAUUCUAUGCCUGAGGUUACUUCUGCUAUAGUUAAUUUUAAAUAAGCAUUGGCUAUCGUGUGGACAACUGCUGAGAUCAAGGCAAGAGCGACCAAAGAUUGCUAGAAGACUUGUGGAUUUAAGUCUAGCACCCAAGCGAUGCCCAGCCAGACAUAGCCAUCGAUUGAUGUUUGUGCUCGGCUCAGCGGUCCGCAAACAGUCUAGGUGCCCGCAACUUGAGGUAGCUGUGUGAGUCAGCCGCGUAUGGCUCAGGAUCAGCACCACACACCUUCCUGCCACUAUCUCCGUCGGCCGCCGGAGGCAUGCAUUACAAACUUUCAUCUAUCACUUUUUUCAUGUUUGAGGUUUAUUGAUUCUCUGAAGUCUUGAGAUUAUCUUGAUUUUACAAGGUCAGUUGAAAUUGUUGCAGGCCAAGCAGGUUACCUGGAAUCCUGGACCAAUGAUCGAUCUUGGAAGCAGCCAGUCCACUUCCUCUGCCAAUAAUGCCACCGCCUAUGGAUUGGCAAGGGCAUUGCAUGGAUGAGUCCAGUCUGCAGUUGCCACUGCAUGGAAUGCAUAUUACAGAACUGAAAGCCAAUGACAGUGGAUGGACCAAUGACAAAAGCUACUCAAGUUCUGUAACAAGGGCGGGGCAUGGCCUGGUUUAGCCCCUACUAAGAUCCGCCAGUGCAUAUGUGUGCAAUACAUCAAAUUUAGGGCUGCAGGUAAUUCUUGGUUAGCCCCAGAGGAUAUUGAAGAACAUGACAAAGAACAGAGGAUAUUGUUCUAUGUAAAUCCAGAAAAAAGCAUGCCUGAUUCGAGAGGGGGAGAGGGUGUUACAUACCUGAACUCCCUAAACUUCUCCGAUGAUCCGCCUUGUGACUCAAUGAAAUUCGGGAGGGACAGGUUGAACUCCAGAUACACGAGAUCUCUAGCCCGAGCCAUUGUUCAGUGUACCCUUUAUAUGACUGCUUCCUUCUCGCAAAUGUUUAUUGGAAAUGUUUUAAUUACCAUAGCGUAAUGUAUGGGUCGAGUUAAUUUAAAUUAAUUGUUCACUGUAAUUUGAGGGAAGGUGAUUUGUGAGAUUCCUAAACUGGCCCAGGCUGUUAAAUGCCUGAACGACCAACAGGACCAAAUGCCCGUGGCUGUUAAAUGCGUGAUUUCCUGGGCUGGAUUGGAGCGUGAGUUAUAUUCUGGGAAGGUUUGUUCACUGUAA